UGUUGACCUCGGAUCAGGUAGGAAUACCCGCUGAACUUAAGCAUAUCAAUAAGGCGGAG
rnacentral:rRNA from 1 species